rnacentral:rRNA from 1 species
GACGAACGCUGGCGGCGUGCUUAACACAUGCAAGUCGAGCGGUAAGGCCCUUUCGGGGGUACACGAGCGGCGAACGGGUGAGUAACACGUGGGUGACCUGCCCUCAGCUCUGGGAUAAGCCUGGGAAACUGGGUCUAAUACUGGAUAUGACUCCACGGUGCAUGUCGUGGGGUGGAAAGCCUUGUGCGGCUGAGGAUGGGCCCGCGGCCUAUCAGCUUGUUGGUGGGGNGAUGGCCUACCAAGGCGACGACGGGUAGCCGGCCUGAGAGGGCGACCGGCCACACUGGGACUGAGACACGGCCCAGACUCCUACGGGAGGCAGCAGUGGGGAAUCUUGCGCAAUGGGCGAAAGCCUGACGCAGCGACGCCGCGUGAGGGAUGACGGCCUCGG